GUGGGGAAUAUUGGACAAUGGGCGAAAGCCUGAUCCAGCAAUGCCGCGUGAGUGAUGAAGGCCUUAGGGUUGUAAAGCUCUUUUACCCGGGAUGAUAAUGACAGUACCGGGAGAAUAAGCUCCGGCUAACUCCGUGCCAGCAGCCGCGGUAAUACGGAGGGAGCUAGCGUUGUUCGGAAUUACUGGGCGUAAAGCGCACGUAGGCGGCUUUGUAAGUUAGAGGUGAAAGCCUGGAGCUUAACUCCAGAACUGCCUUUAAGACUGCAUCGCUUGAAUCCAGGAGAGGUGAGUGGAAUUCCGAGUGUAGAGGUGAAAUUCGUAGAUAUUCGGAAGAACACCAGUGGCGAAGGCGGCUCACUGGACUGGUAUUGACGCUGAGGUGCGAAAGCGUGGGGAGCAAACAGGAUUAGAUACCCGUGUAGUCC
rnacentral:rRNA from 1 species